CAAUUCUAAUAAAGAACUCUACAUGAAAUGAGAGGGUGCUGGAGGAACAAAAAGUAGAGUCAUCGAACCUGUCAGUGUCCAAACAGGAAGGCUUCUCAGAGGAAGUAAUGGCUGGAAGGAUGGCUGAGAGUAACCAGUAGAAAAGACAUAUGGAAGGUGGGAGUAGAGAGAUCCAGAGAGAAGCAUGUACCAGGUUCAAAGCCAAGUUUGCUUAGCUACCUUGAAGAGUGUAACAAGUAUAACAGGAGUUUCAAAAUCACAUGGGAGGAGUGGCAAAAUGGGGCCAGUUGAUCUGGGGGAGAAAAAAAGAUACCAACCAUAUCUACCUGGCAGGUGUUAGCCAAGGUCUGGUCUGUUGCUAUGAUGCAUCAUCACUAGUAAUUACAGCUGGAUAUGGGUGCAGCUCUGUCGGAAAAUCUCCUGGGAUUAUGAUUUCUCUAAGGACACAUGCAUUUCCUAAUUCAUGUGCUGUUCCUAAAAACAGCAUGUUUCCAAAAAGCACAAUAGUUAGUGGGAAUAAUGGCUUCAAGAAUCCACAGUGUGGAAAACUAGCCCAGUCCAUCUGGGAAGAAGCCAAGAGGACGAUGGUCAUUCCCUAGGAAGGUAUUGUGAGCCAAAGGUUAAGUGUUUUCUAUCCAACUACUCGACAAACACAGAAGGGAGACAAAAUUCAAUGGCAGUUAAUGGCAUUUUCUAAAUUUCUUAAUUACUUGUGUUUUUCGUUAUUAGUUAAUGACCUGAAAACAUGAGAUAAGACAAUAUUAACUCAUGAGCAUCUGAAUAAUUGAAUUAAUAUGACUACGCAAGAUGUUGCCUGGAACCGUGUUGUAAUAAAUAAAAAUAAAAUUUCUUUGAUUAAAAAUUCCAAGGAAGUAUACGUGGCCCCCCAUCCCUCCAAAUUGCAGUGGAGUAACUCAAUUUUUAAUUCUGAUUUUAAGUCUAACUUUUAAUUCUGAUCUUCCCUGUCCUGACUAUAAUCCAUGAAAUAGAAUAAGGAUAAACAAAUAUAUAUCUUUGAUUAGACAGCAGUUUCCUCUCUUCCAGAUAUGCAAAGUGAGGCUGUAAGGAGCAUUUUAGUGCCCCCCACCCCCAAUGAUUAAGUUAAAUUCAAUAUAUGAGGUGACCAGACUCUGGCUUAAAUGUCUGUUACAAAAUGAGGGAGACCCAUUUCCUGCCCUCAGGAAGGUCACAGUCUACUAGGGAAUAUGAUUUAUUUACAACCAAUAUGAAGUGUGUAAUAAUAAAUGUAUAUAAACACACAGAGAUGGCAUUGCUGAGGGAGAUGAACCAAGUGGGAUGGACAGGUAAGGGUUACAGAGAUGGUUGUAUUCCAGCCAGGUCUGGAAUUUAGAUUAGAGUAGCCAAAUGGACAAAGUGGCACUAAAGAAGGCUUCAAGUACAAAGGUCUGAAGAGACAACGGCACAGACAUUAAAACAGGGUGGCACAAAGAAAAACAAUGUUAAGUUUUUAUGUGUCUGGAAUGCAGUGUACAAGAUAGUCUAGAAUGAUCGGCAAGCCGUCAAUGGGACCAAUGAAAAGUUUUAAGCACGGGAAAUAGAGUAAUAAUUUUUUUAAAAAAUUGCAGAGGAGACUGUUGUCUGUAGCUUAUUACUCAUAGGUUAGCAAGAAACUUUUAUGAGGAUGAGAUCAUAGGCUCAAGUCCAUGCAGGCCAGUAGCAACCUCAAGUCUGUGACCACAGACGAUAUUCUGGCCUCACCCCAGCCAUUCCUGUUUGGGGCAAUCCCUACAUCAGGCUUUUUAUUGUAGGCAGGUAUGUUAGGGCAGCAGCUGGGUGUCUGAAAAGACAAAUGUAGGGACUAUCACCAAGAUGACCCAGAGAACUUGGAGUCAGCUUUUCAUUAUUAUCAAAAGCCAGAUUUUGUAUGCUGAGGUUGGAAAUGCUACAGGCAAGAGACGGGAGGUAUUAUCAUCUGUCCUUUCUGGCCUGUACCCUACUUCUUUGGCGUUUUUCCUAUUUCCACUCAAAACAUAAUGGAAAGGGGAAAAGAAAGUUUUGGGCCCAAGAAUGCCAAUUCUUGUGCAUCAGAACUCUCUUUCUGAACCUAGGGAAGCAUCACUAAUUAAUCAUGGGACUCUUUCCACUAAUCCUCAGUAUCUUUUUGAUCUGUCCAGUCUGCUACCAUAAACAAUUAGCAUUGGCACAGGAAAUGAAGUCUAGUUGCCAUCUCGUUUUAGAACAAUUCUACAGGAUGGUUUGUUAACAUUGGCUUUACGAGGACAUAAUCCCAGUGGCAUGUUAUUUAAAGUGGUGGCAUCCAUGUUUCAUGAGAAGCUUUCAGAUGGCAAGGCUGAAAGCCAGAACUGGCAAAGUCAAGGCAAAAGUUAAAAGGUAAGGGUAGGAAUAAUCAAAGAAAAGAUGUCCAAAAUAAGCUGCCAGGGUCAAAGUCACAUGCUGUCUCUCCUGCUUGGAAUACUCUUUCAGCUUCUCCUACUUUGGUUAAUCUCUAUUUAUUCUUCAGGUCCCAGCUUAGAAAAUGUUCUUACAUGGGAGAUGUGUGAAUUCAGCUGCACCUUCUGUUGCACUGACACCAUCCUAGAUUUUCUCUAUCAUGGCAACCUUUGCCAUAUGAAAGUCAUAUGGGUAUUGUAUACCACUCCAGGGAUUUAUCACAUUAGUCCAGCUCAACCUUAUAACUUGCAUAGCAGAUGCCUCAUUUCAAUUUUACAAAUUGAAUGGACAGCAGAAGACAGAGAACAAUAUGAUCUGGCCCUCCAACCUGAUUAUCUCACUCAAAGUCUACAUAUUUAACUUGAUGACAAAGAACAAGAAACAUGAGACUUUGAAACAAUGUCUUAGGCAGAAAAUCUUUCUUAUUUUUCUUCUACAAGAGGGUCCCAUUUUUUUUCUCAGAAUACAAGUCUGAAGUUUGGGCUUAAAACUCCAAUUUGCAAUGUCUAGCAACUCCUGACGCUUGCUGAGUGAAUACAAUCUGUAGGCUAAAAUGCUAUUAGAACCCAGCUUGUUAUUACAUAAACCUACAUGUUCUGUGUGUACCUGGAACUGAAAGAAACAAUCUAAUCUGGAAGAAAAAUCAGUUGUUACAGUCAGAAAGAUGUGGGCUUUUUUUUUAAUUUUUUAAUUGGGAGGGAAGGCUUACAUUUCAUUUUGUAAAAUCUUGGUCAAGUUACUUAGUCUUUUCAAGUUUCUAAUUUAUUCAUUUGUAAAACACUGCAAAUUUAUUGUGAGAAUAAGAUAUGAUAUUUGUCCAAGUUGGUACAGUGUUGUAUCCAUAAGAGACAGUGAAAUAAAAUCAUUGGUACUCAUUUAAAAAUUAUUACUUGGAUAAAAAACUUACAUACAUAGAUCAUCUCUUUCAAUCUUUAUAAAGUAAGCUCUAUCAUUAUAUCUAUCUGAUAGAUGAUACAAUUAAGGCUCAAGGAACUUCCCUGAUCUGCCCGAGGACAUUCAAAGAGUAGUGGGCAGACCAAGUUCUAGACCCAGAUUCAUCUGAUUCUGUAGCCUAUGCCCACCACUCUGGAAUAUAAUGGUGAGGAUAGCUCUGACCUAUCAGCUUAUCAAGACAGCGAAGAAAUACCUCUAAACUCUAAAUGCAAGUUCUAGAUAAAACUAUUUCCUGUCUUCCCUCCACAUAGUAGGCAAAAGUUGCAGUGUGGGGCUUCUCACAAAGCUUUUUAAAAGGAGUUCAUUAAGUGGGGAUAAAUAUCUUUGUUCCUCUCUUUUCCUCCAUUCUGCUGCUGGGAACAUAAAUGUGAUGGCUGGAGCUCAAAUGGCCGUCUCACAACAAUGAGGCAACUUUGAAGAUAGAAGUCAUAUUAAGGAUGGAGGAGCAGAAAGGGAGAAUACACCCGGGUGAUCGAUUAAUGCAGCCCUAGACUGUCAACCAUUGAUGAUAUUUUAUGGGAGAGUGAAAAAAAAAAUCUCCUUUCUUAGAGAUCAUCCUACUAUUUGGACUAAUCUUUCUGGAUUCUAGCGGAGCACAAGAAACAAAAGUAGCCCAUUUAUCUUCAUGUUCUUGCAAGAAUAUGAUUCAAGAAGUUCCUAAAGGACCAAAGGCAACAGCGACAGGCACACUUUCAGCAACAACCACAGUGUGGAGGAUACAUAUUGAAUUCUUACCAGGGAGAAUUCAAACUCCUUUACUUCUACUUAACUCGUUGAAAUCUCAAAACAACCCUAUCAUCACUGAUCUCUCCUACAAAUCAGGAAAUUAACAUGCAGAGAGAUUCUGAAUUAGGUAUUCACAUGAAAGAAUGACUUCAAAAAAUAAUGAUAAAGCAAUAAUUUGAAACCCAUCUAAUGUUUGUAGUCGUGGAAACAGUAGUAUGAGUGUUCUCCUUGAGAGAAAGAGAAGAUACAGGAUCGGAAAUAUGAGUCCCUCUUUAAUAAGGAAUUGACUUUAAUUAAAGGAAGUCAUGAAGUAAAUCUCUAGAAUGUUAAAGCCCUUGUUUCUUCUGGUUUUAAAUUCCUUCCCUGUGCAGAUAGAAAAGCCACGGGAUCCAUCAGUUGUAACCUGGCAAACAUAAAGAGUUUUAGUUGGUUGACAAACCAGCUAAGGCAGAAAGCUCAGCAAAAUUUUUAAUCUUCAGUGCUAUUUUUGGCCCUUUAAUCCAAAGAAGUAAGAAAUCACUCUCAAGUAAUUUUACUAUAGUAUUUGUGUAAAUGCAUCUGAAAUAUAAACCUCCGUAUUGUUUAGGUAUCAAAGUCUAUAAAAUACAUCUUAAAAAAUUGUGGCAGGUUAUAGAAAAUAGCUAAUUUAGGAUAGAAUAAUAGUUUAUAAGUUGUAUCUUGUGUUAAAUACUUCAGAUGUAAACGAAUUUAUAAUAAAUA